GUAAGGACACUUGUGCUGUUGGAUUAGGGUCCCUAUGACCUCAUCUUUAACUUGAUCACAUCUGCCAAGUCUCUAUUUUCAAAUAAGGUCCCAUUCACAGCACUUCAACAUAUAUAUCUUCUAGGGGGCACAAUUCACCCGUAACAUGUCCCCAAGCUCUCAAUAAAUUUGUUCCUUACCCUCAGCCUCUCCCACCAACCCAGGGAGUUAGAUUAUAUGAGAAAAUCAAAGGGCCUCUUGGACCCUGCAGUACUGCAGGCUCUUAAAUGGGACUGGUCCUACAGGUGUAGCACAAACACAAGAGGAACAGCAUGGGGAGAAUUGUAGUGGCAUUCGGAGGAAAGGACCACGUCCACAGACUCCUUUCCUGACCAUCACAGAGUUAUCAACAACUACAGCCUCAUCGUAUCUUGCCAGCCCCUCAGAACCAGAGAAUCCUAUUUGUCUCAACCACAAAUAUUUUCCAGUUCAACCUACAUUCCGUACAAGACCAAACGCCAAACUGACGUGGCUGAAUGAAAAUGAGGUCUUUGUCAGUUUUUCUAUUGAUUUAAAAGAUGGCAACACCACUCAUGCAAAGUCUGAAUGGAGCCUGUGAAUCAUGGCGCCCUGGACUGACCUCACCAGUAGGGGGAUGCUGAUGGCCCAGGUGCCAGGAAGCAGCACCAACGAUGUGGGGCCAGAAUGUCUGCAGCAUCAUCUGUGCUCGUGGACCCACAGCUGACUCUUCCCUGAGCCUUUUCUGAGCAACAUCUGCAUGAUAACCCUUACACAGUGAAGCAUCAAGUCCGUUGUACAAACCAAGAGUCUGGCUUUGUAAAAGCAGAAAGCAAACUAAGAAAAAGAUUGAAAAGUGUUAAGUUAAUUAAAGAAGAACCUCAGCCUGUAAGUGCCUCAAGGUUAGGGAAUCGAAACCUAAGGACAACCCAUCCCAAAGAGCCAAGAAGCUUUGAGCUCCAGCCAACCAGUAAUUUCCUGCCUUUGUUUUCUCUUCUUCUCUAUAAAAGUCUCUCUUUUACAGAUCAACUCUUGGUAAAGGGCCCCCCCCACCACCACUUCCAGUUUGACGCUGCCCGAUUCUAAUCAAUUUUUGUUCCAAUGAACUCUUAAAAUUUUUAAUAGGCCUCAGUUUGUCUUUGAACAAAAGUAGUUACAAACAAACCUGUCAAUGUGUUCUACAAUGGUUUUAAUUUGUCUUCAUUAAAAUGACUGAUUUUGUUGAAGCUAUUAAUUUUUGUCAUCUGGACGUGGCCUAUUGGAUAAACUUGGGAGACCAAAUAAACGUGAAACUUUGUGAUGUUCAACAAACAGUGUGGGAGAAACAUAGAAUUGGUUUAAGGACUCUUAAAGGUUAAAACCUAGGGGGCAACGUCGGAUUGAGUUCUUCCCUGCUCUGGGGAGCCCG
rnacentral:lncRNA from 1 species